AAAGCGUGGACAUAGAGUUAAGGCGUUUGUGCCCAGAUUCAGGUGUAAGUACGGUAAGAGUACGGACCCGAGACUCCUGGACCACCUCGAGAGGCAGGGGAUGGUCGUGUACACCCCUCCAGGGAAAUAAAGGGAAAACUAUCACGCCUUACGAUGACAGAUACAUAAUUCAAUGUGCAGCCGAGUUUGACGGUGUUAUAGUAACCGGAGACAACUACAGAGACUUGGCAGACGAAAAUUCAAAAUGGCGAUUUGUUAUAGAAAAUAGACUGUUGCCUUUCACUUGGGUGGACGAUAUGAUAAUGUUCCCUAAAGAUCCCCUGGGGAGGAAUGGACCGACCCUGCAAAAGUUUUUGAGCCAUUGAAAUUGUGAUAAAACUUUAUUUAUAAAGAGUAUUCAGAGUAUAGCGUGCUGGAUAAUAUCGUCUUAAACUGUCAAAAUGUAUGGAUAGCGAUAUAAUAUUAUCUACGAGUGCUUAUGGUUUUAAUUUGUUUAUAUUAUAAUUUAGUGUGAAGUGCAUCUCAUGUGGCGAGUAAAGAUAUUUGCAAGUUGCGGUCGAAAAACAGAUUUACGGUGUUUUAUUAACCAUAAAUUUUAUGAUUUUUUAAACUCGUUUAAUACAAUAUUUCGUGAUUUUUAAUUUGUAAUAUACAUUAUGUGUAAAAUUUUAUUUGGGAGUGGAUCAAUGUGUUGCGCGUAACCUGCGGACAUUUUUCGUCAUUGCCAGUAUGUCAUUUUAACAUAGAAAAUAAGAUUCCAUAGGCACAUAAUUUAUUUAUUUAAAACGUAAAUGAAAAACCAUAUUCAAGUUUGUUAUGAAACAAACAGAAAAUUAAAUUUUCUGAAUUUCAUUUAUAGUAUUCUAAGUUUGUAAAUUUCAUUUUAUGUUUUAUAAUAAAAUGCGCUACCUCAAAAGAGUGAAUUGUGGCCAAAUUUUAUGUUAUUUAUUUGAUAUUAAUAUCGGUAAAUUAAUUCAAUCGAAAUUUAGGGUCACAUCUGGUUUUCAGCAUUCAUUAAUAAAUAAAGAUUGAAAAAAUAAAAGUUUAAAAUGGCUAUAAAGAAUUAUUAACAGAAAUAUCGUAUAUUUAUAGAUUUCAAGUAAUAUAUGGAUAUUGAAAUGUUUUAUUUAAACCAUAAAAUAUCAAUAUUCAAAACAUCUUGAUACUUGAUGCGCGUGAAUAUAAUUAUUUACUCGGUAAAGUAUCGUGUUUAAAUUAGACAAUAGUUUAAUUAAAUUAUAGUUUCCGAGUUGGUAGAAUUGAUAUAUUCAUAUUUUUUAUUUGCCAAGACUGCUUCGGUGGCAUUAUACAACUGUAUUUGUACGCUGUGGCUACCGCCUGAUAUCUCGCCUAUCAUUUUACAGGGUGGACCACAAAAAUGUGUGCCCUGGUUGCACCUCUACCUUUGGGGAUAGAGGCUGUGUGUUUUUUUUUUCUAAAUCUCAUGUGUGUCUGUUGUAAACCAAGAUCCUAAGUUUCAUUUCUGUAAUCCCAUAGUAUUUCACAGCGCCCGACAGAACGUUCUAUUUACAGAGAAAUAUUUGCGCAUACGCAUCCGUAAAUAUUUACAAGAUCUGAAUGGUGUUGAACGGCUUUUGUUGUACUUGAUACGGCGCAAUACUUUUGUAGCUUAUGUACAAUCAGGACUAUAGUAAUGCAGUGUUUUUAAUUCUUUUGUUUUUUACAUAGUACACAUAAACCUCAAUAACACGGUCAUUUCUAUAAUUUUAAUUAAGAUUAUGAUUUUUUUCCUGUUCUUUUUUCGUUAGCGUUGAACUUUGUUGCAAUAACAUGCGCUCAAUACACAUACAUCAUUGUAAGUCGGUAUUUAUAAAAUAAAGAUCGAUGUUUAAUAUA